rnacentral:lncRNA from 1 species
UAUUGAGAGAUGGCGCCACGCACUGGCUCGCGCUUCGCUGCAGUUUCUGACCUGCGAGUUUAUUAUACUUACGAGUUAUCGCUUGGGCCGGAAAACAGGAAUCGAGGAAUGGCUGGCAUUUAGCCUAUGUUCUGCAUUGACAGUGAAGAUGGCAAUACGCGCAUAAGCUGAGAAAGGAUUUUGACAUUCAUUAUGCUACUAUUACUUAUCAAAAGUGUACUCACUGUUACUAUACUCAAAAAAGAUUUUUGCUGGAAAAGUAAGCGUAAAAUUGGCACAUCGGCAUAAGCAUCAGUAAUAUAAACAAAAAAGUAAAGGAUUUAGAAAACAUCCAUCAGCAUGGAGCAGUGAGUUCUUUUCCUAAUCGAGAAAUAGCAAGUUGGGCCGUCAGAGAAAUAAUUAUAAAUCAAGAAAAGUUGAUAAAAGAUUGGUUUCAUCAAGCUAAAGUUGGAACAAUAAAAACGUUUUAUUUUAAUUGCAACAGGAUAAUUGGAUACGGACAAGUUAUUGAUGAAGGUAGCAAGCUCGAGUACUGGAGCAUGAUUUGUCUACGUCUAAAGAAGUCCGAAAGAUCGAAUUCUCCCAUGAUUUUGAAUGCAUAUCCAUGCAAAAAUGAUUCGAAGCAUUACCUUCUUAUUAAGGACUUUCCAUUGAGUUCUCAGAAGGAGGAUUUGGGUAAUGUUAAACGAGAGUUCAGUAAGAUUAGAGGUAUCAACUUGAGUAAAAUUUCGAUAAAAAGAUUUGAUAAAUGUACGAAGGCAAAUAGUCCACUAAUUGUUAAAGUUAGAUUCGGCUCUAUUAAAGAUGCCGAACAAGUUCUAAAUAACAAGCAUCUUCUAAAAGAUAUUAAAGUAGAGAAAUAUUAUCUAAAUGGAUUACAAUCUACUAGAAAUAACUAAGACAGUAAAGCUAAUAGAAAACGGAAAAAGUUAAGUGAGAAAUGUAAGGAUCUCCAUAUUCUCUUCUGCAAGAAAUACAAACAUUUAUUUCAAUAUAUUGCUGGCAAGGAACAUAGUAACAAUCGAAGCUCGAAUCUCAAGAGAGUUUUAAAUCGACAGUGCCAGUCAAAAAUGUUACAUUUUAUCCUGUGCAAUUUCCGUUUGUUUUCUAGCUAUUCAAUGUUAAAUAAGCUGUAUUGAUAAACCAAGCGAUAAUAACAUUUAAAAAUAAAGAAAAUUAAUAAUAAA